rnacentral:misc_RNA from 1 species
GGAAAUUGAAUGAAAUUUCUGAUCACUAAUAACCGGUAUCCAGAUUUGUAAAUCUUAGCCACUAUUACAUGCAUAUCUCGCAAUUUCACAUUGAUGUUUACAGACCUCACUAAACAGAGACGAAUUUAGUGCUAGUUCAGCAAGUUCAGAAAGUACCCGUUAUUCUCUCAACUUGUAUCACGUAUACAAAUGCAAGGAUAUUGUACAUAAACGAUCACAACUCUUUUGAACCCAAUGACACUUUUAACUUCUGGAUUGCAACUAAGUUUCUGAAAAAGUUGGUGCUAAUGAAAGUGGUGAAACAGUCUCACAAGCCUGAGAAGUAUUCGCGAGCUUCAUAAUACCGAUCCAACACUACGUUGAAGAGUGGGUGAACCUGUUCCAACAGACAUUUGGAAUAAGGACCAAAUACAUCCCUGGGUAAUGGUGGAGAAUCAGCUUCGUCGGUCCAGCUAUACUGAGCAAUUGAAAGACCACUUAAACAGUAACAGGUAUGGUAGUAGUCUCUACCCUUCCCAGGUUUGUCUCUGAAACCACCUACUUCAAUCUGGGAGCAAAGAAGAACAUAUUGCUGCAGAUACAUGCUGUCAAAGAGAGGCCUCAUAGCUAUGGGUCGGUUGAUAAACUCAUAUCCAGUAUCUGCUAUUUUUGGGCUAUGAGAAGCAUUUUCUUGACAAGCACCUGCUUGUCCAAGAGGGAAAGUAUCCUGAACAUGAGAGGAUGUCCCUUCCAAAAGCUCUUCUUCAUCAGAUAACUCUGACUCUGAAGAAUCAUCAGCACUUUCUGUACUGAGGUCAUUUGACAGCCCUAGUUGUUCAUGGACUAUCAAAUUUAGUCUUUGUAUAAGAAACACUACCGCGCCCUGCCAAAAGGAAUAGCAGCCAUCGACUAAUUUAUUUGUCCUGCCUUGAAAUCCACCUUCGACCCCUUGUCUAAAUACCACCCAAUCAAUUAAACCUGGCAAGUCCAAUCGAUUCACUUCGUUGAUCAGAAUCAUUGCAGCCAACCCACAGAAAGUAUACCCACCAUGAGCUUCAGAACCUGGUUCGCCAGCAAUUCCACCUUCAUAAGUCUGACAACUUAGGAUGUAAUUUCCAACACCAUGAAUCAGCUCGUCAUCCACAAUGUUUAAUAUAUUUGCAACAGAAAUGGCAGUAUAACAGGCACGAACAUCUACUUCUCCACCAUCGUGCAUCCUGAAUCCACCACUUGCGUCUUUCAUUCGCAGCAAAAAUGUGUACAACUUUUCUCUAUUAAUUGAUGACAGAGCUUCAGGUUUGCCCAAAGUUAUUAGUGAAUUGACUGCAGCAUAAGUAGUUGCAAGAUGAGGCAUCUGACCAGGUCCACCUCCAUAGCCACCAUCUUUAUCCUGGCAACGGGUCAGAAAGUCAAUUGCAUCAUUUUCCAGUUUGCCACCAAUAGAUUCUCCCAACAAAGCGAUUGAAUGAAGUGUCCAGUAGCAAAGCCAUGGUCGACUGGCAUCCAAAACGGAAAACGACGGACCAAGUUUUCUGAGACCUUGGCUUAGAUAACCGAAGUGUUUGUCACGUUCGAUCUCUAUGAGGUCGGACGGGGAGUUGGGGGAAAUGCUGUAGAAAUAAUCGUAUAUCUCUCGGACUCGACGCUCCACCACCCAUUGAUCUUCCAGCGUCUUCGUCACUUUCCUCGACUCCAUUUUUUCACUACAACCGGUUACUACUCUUGACUGUAAAUUUCGUCAGCGACAAAUCAACGAUC